rnacentral:tRNA from 1 species
GCGGGCGUAGCUCAGUUGGUAGAGCGCGACCUUGCCAAGGUCGAGGUCGUGGGUUCGAGCCCCAUCGCCCGCUCCA